UUCCGGCCACAUCAGGUUGAAACAACGGUUCCCAUACAAUCAACGAAGUUAUGCAACGUCGAGGUUGGUCAGUACCUGGAUGGGUGACCGCUUGGGAAUACCACAUGCU